AAAUUGAAGAGUUUGAUCAUGGCUCAGAUUGAACGCUGGCGGCAGGCCUAACACAUGCAAGUCGAACGGUAACAGGAAACAGCUUGCUGUUUCGCUGACGAGUGGCGGACGGGUGAGUAAUGUCUGGGAAACUGCCUGAUGGAGGGGGAUAACUACUGGAAACGGUAGCUAAUACCGCAUAACGUCGCAAGACCAAAGAGGGGGACCUUCGGGCCUCUUGCCAUCGGAUGUGCCCAGAUGGGAUUAGCUAGUAGGUGGGGUAACGGCUCACCUAGGCGACGAUCCCUAGCU
rnacentral:rRNA from 1 species